rnacentral:lncRNA from 1 species
AAAUAAUGAUGAUAAUUUUUGCGUGAAAAAAAAUCUGAAACAAUAAUGUAAAUGUCUGUUGUUAUAGAAAGAGAAUUUCAUGUUGGUUAUGUCAUACAGUUGCAAGAUUUUGCGGAGAUGCAACUCCAUGUAACUUGACCUCACCACACACCAGAACUAUAGAACAAAGAACAGACUGAUACAAACUUUACAUGCACAAGGGAGUUCUACAACAUAAUGAAACAUUCAAGUAUCUCCCAUUAUAAGAACAAUAUUAUAUACCACCCUCAUGGGUGCCCAUUGCACCUUGUCUGAUUUGAAUCUGGUGAUUGCUUACUAGAAAUCGAAAUCAACUUGGACCUUAUAUCAUCAACUUCGUCGGUGCUUAUUUCAACAGCCUUGUUUUCGUUGUCAAAGUUCUCAAAUGCUACAGAAUCAAAUUUUUUAUCAGGUACCGAGUCAGAGAUAGUGAUUAGCAAUUCUCUAAUAAGAUCUAAUGUUGACUCCUCACAAGAAGCUCUGUUAUCCAUAAAAUGUAAAGCUUUUCCUGAAAUCCAAAAACAGAACUUCACAUUAGACAAAAAUCCUUGUAGUAUAGAAGUGGCAACAGGAGACGAAACACGAGAAGUUACUAACACUAACAUGUAUAAGAAUCACUCUCUUUUCUAAAAUCAAUUACUAUAACGUACUAAUAUACUAUCACAACAUGUAUUUCUUGAAUUCCAGUGUGAUUAUUAUAAGUCAGUUAAUUAGUUAUUUUGGCAUACAUAGUACAGACAACAAAUUCACAUACAUGAACUAAAUCCAAUGCGUAGUUGCUUAUAAACAAUCAUGAUUUCCUCUCCCUAUCAGCUCUUCUUUUUAAACAGAUUUUUUUAAUCCAGAACUGACAAAGAAAUCACAUAAACACUUGUUGUCCCAACUUCCAAUCAAAACAAUUUACUCCAUUUAAUCAUCUAAAAAACCUAAAUGCUUGUGAUCAAGAUGGGAACUUUUCCUAGAAAAUAAGUGAGCAGUUGGCAGUUAUACUAGGAAACUCUCGAAUUCGCAACAAAUAGUAUUCACCAAUAUCAUCAUCAAAAAACCACUUUAACAUCAAUCCUUACCCCCUAAAAAGUUCAUAUAUAGCUAAGCUUCACCAAGAACAUCAAAGUUCAAUCUCUUUACUUUUUUCUUUCAAGAUUUCAGUACCCAAUUCAUAGCUGUAAAAAAAGAAUGAACAUUCACAUACAUGAACCAAAUCAGAUGCUUAAUUGCUUAAUACCAAUCAUGAUUUCCCAUUUCUAUCAGGUCUACUUUUUAGACAAUUUACGCAGAUUGUUCAAUUCAGAGCUGACAAAGCAAUCACAUAAACACUCAUACUUGUCCCAAUCAAAACAAUUUACUUCAUUUAAUCAUCCGAAAAACCUAAAUGCUUGUGAUCAAGAUGGAAACUUUUCCUCACCCACAUCAAGAUGGAAACUUUUCCUCACCCACAUCAUCAUCGAAAAACCACUAUAGAUUUCAGCUUUUCCCCGUCUCACAAACACUUUAACAUCAUCCCUCCCCCAUAAAAAAAUUUCAGCACAUAUCUAAGCUUCACCAAGAACAUCGAAGUUUCAAUCUUUUUACUUUUUUCUUUCAAGAUUUUAGUACCCAGUUCAUAGCUGAACAAAAAGAAUGAAAAAUCAACAACCCCCAACUCAAAUUAGCCCUCUACAAACCCACAUACAUGAAUUCUAAACCAGACCCAGAUUGUAGCUAAUCUUAAAUUAAACCCUUAAUCCAAAACAGUAAACAAUAAUUCAUCAAUAUUUUUCAAAUUUACAAAUUAUACACACAUAUAC